rnacentral:rRNA from 1 species
AUUGAACGCUGGCGGCAGGCCUAACACAUGCAAGUCGAACGGUAACAGGAAACAGCUUGCUGUUUCGCUGACGAGUGGCGGACGGGUGAGUAAUGUCUGGGAAACUGCCUGAUGGAGGGGGAUAACUACUGGAAACGGUAGCUAAUACCGCAUAACGUCGCAAGACCAAAGAGGGGGACCCUCGGGCCUCUUGCCAUCGGAUGUGCCCAGAUGGGAUUAGCUUGUUGGUGGGGUAACGGCUCACCAAGGCGACGAUCCCUAGCUGGUCUGAGAGGAUGACCAGCCACACUGGAACUGAGACACGGUCCAGACUCCUACGGGAGGCAGCAGUGGGGAAUAUUGCACAAUGGGCGCAAGCCUGAUGCAGCCAUGCCGCGUGUAUGAAGAAGGCCUUCGGGUUGUAAAGUACUUUCAGCGGGGAGGAAGGGAGUAAAGUUAAUACCUUUGCUCAUUGACGUUACCCGCAGAAGAAGCACCGGCUAACUCCGUGCCAGCAGCCGCGGUAAUACGGAGGGUGCAAGCGUUAAUCGGAAUUACUGGGCGUAAAGCGCACGCAGGCGGUUUGUUAAGUCAGAUGUGAAAUCCCCGGGCUCAACCUGGGAACUGCAUCUGAUACUGGCAAGCUUGAGUCUCGUAGAGGGGGGUAGAAUUCCAGGUGUAGCGGUGAAAUGCGUAGAGAUCUGGAGGAAUACCGGUGGCGAAGGCGGCCCCCUGGACGAAGACUGACGCUCAGGUGCGAAAGCGUGGGGAGCAAACAGGAUUAGAUACCCUGGUAGUCCACGCCGUAAACGAUGUCGACUUGGAGGUUGUGCCCUUGAGGCGUGGCUUCCGGAGCUAACGCGUUAAGUCGACCGCCUGGGGAGUACGGCCGCAAGGUUAAAACUCAAAUGAAUUGACGGGGGCCCGCACAAGCGGUGGAGCAUGUGGUUUAAUUCGAUGCAACGCGAAGAACCUUACCUGGUCUUGACAUCCACGGAAGUUUUCAGAGAUGAGAAUGUGCCUUCGGGAACCGUGAGACAGGUGCUGCAUGGCUGUCGUCAGCUCGUGUUGUGAAAUGUUGGGUUAAGUCCCGCAACGAGCGCAACCCUUAUCCUUUGUUGCCAGCGGUCCGGCCGGGAACUCAAAGGAGACUGCCAGUGAUAAACUGGAGGAAGAUGGGGAUGACGUCAAGUCAUCAUGGCCCUUACGACCAGGGCUACACACGUGCUACAAUGGCGCAUACAAAGAGAAGCGACCUCGCGAGAGCAAGCGGACCUCAUAAAGUGCGUCGUAGUCCGGAUUGGAGUCUGCAACUCGACUCCAUGAAGUCGGAAUCGCUAGUAAUCGUGGAUCAGAAUGCCACGGUGAAUACGUUCCCGGGCCU